AGAUUGAACGCUGGCGGCGUGCCUAACACAUGCAAGUCGAGCGGUAACAGGUGUAGCAAUACAUGCUGACGAGCGGCGAACGGGUGAGUAAUGCUUUGGAAUCUUCCCAGUAGUGGGGAAUAACCAGUCGAAAGAUUGGCUAAUACCGCAUACGUCUGUAAAAGGGAAAGCGGGGGCUCGUAAGACCUCGCGCUAUUGGAUGAGCCAAAGUCGGAUUAGCUAGUUGGCGGGGUAAUGGCCCACCAAGACGAUGAUCUGUA
rnacentral:rRNA from 1 species